CUAAGUUUGAUGGCGACCGGCGCACGGGUGAGUAACACGUAUCCAACCUGCCGAUGACUCGGGGAUAGCCUUUCGAAAGAAAGAUUAAUACCCGAUGGCAUAGUUCUUCCGCAUGGUAGAACUAUUAAAGAAUUUCGGUCAUCGAUGGGGAUGCGUUCCAUUAGGUUGUUAGCGGGGUAACGGCCCACCAAGCCUUCGAUGGAUAGGGGUUCUGAGAGGAAGGUCCCCCACAUUGGAACUGAGACACGGUCCAAACUCCUACGGGAGGCAGCAUG
rnacentral:rRNA from 1 species